GAUUCCUACACCAGACAAUGAGAGUGACACUGAGGUUCCAUAUGCUGACAUAAUGAUCACUGUCCGAGGUGUCAGUACGCCAGAGCUCACUCAGGUUGGGUACUUGACUCCUGGAGACCAAAACGAGUGGUGUGGAGAUGAAUUAAGGUCUCACCUACAGGCCUCACGCUCAGCUGACAGACUGCACGUCCCUCAGCCCAGAGAGGUGAGCCGCAAGAUGAGCACCAACUCUGAGUAUGCCGUCAUCACAUAUGCCUGACUGCUGCUGCUGCUGCUGCUGGAAAAAAGCUAGAAAUAAAGGAGUAGGGUGGAUUAGGAUAAUGU